CCUACGGGAGGCAGCAGUGGGGAAUAUUGGGCAAUGGGCGCAAGCCUGACCCAGCAACGCCGCGUGAAGGAAGAAGGCUUUCGGUAUGUAAAGCUCUAUCAGCAGGGAAGAAGAAAGACGGUACCUGACUAAGAAGCCCCGGCUAACUACGUGCCAGCAGCCGCGGUAAUACGUAGGGGGCAAGCGUUAUCCGGAUUUACUGGGUGUAAAGGGAGCGUAGACGGCUGUGCAAGUCUGAAGUGAAAGCCCAGGGCUCAACCCUGGGACUGCUUUGGAAACUGUGGAGCUAGAGUGCUGGAGAGGUAAGUGGAAUUCCUAGUGUAGCGGUGAAAUGCGUAGAUAUUAGGAGGAACACCAGUGGCGAAGGCGGCUUACUGGACAGUAACUGACGUUGAGGCUCGAAAGCGUGGGGAGCAAACAGGAUUAGAUACCCGUGUAGUC
rnacentral:rRNA from 1 species